UGCGUGCGCGCUCCCCUCCCCCGCCGCAGGUCUGCGAGGCGCUAGGCCUCUCCGCGCACGCGCGCGGGCGGGUUCGUGCACCGAGGCGGGAGGCGGCGCCCGCCAUCUUUGUGGGGGUGAGGGACCCGCUGAGGCUGGGCCGGCCAUGGAGAGGCGGAUCUGAGGGAAUGGCGUCGUUCUGUCGCGUGGCAAGCCGUAGGGAAAAAGGCCACCUCCUUUUGGCAGUGUAUGGACAGAGCAGUGCUGAACUCUCUCAUGACUGUGUAGCAAAAUGCCACCGCUCCAUGCACACAGGUGGCCAAUUCCAUCAGCAGUGACCUUCCUGCCAAAGGCAAAGUGCUGCUUUUCCACCCGGGAGCCGUUAUCCCAGCCGUGCUCGGCCCAUGUGGAGGAAGAAUAAAUUAUGGCGGGGAGGUGUUGGGUUUAUGUGGGCUCCCAAAAACAUCUCCCGUUGUCAUUGCUUGAGGCAGAUUGUUGACUGACUGCACCACUAGUCUCACUAGUUUCUUGGCAAUGCUCCCGUGCUUGAGUAGAUGUUAUUAACUACUACUAUAUUUUUUAAACAGUGUCCUAAGAUAUCUGGGAUUAAACAGGUGAUGUAGAGUAAGGCUUUUCCACCACCAAAACCCUUCAGCCACAGGUGAAGAACCAGUUACACUUGUGUUAAGCUGGGUGACCAAGAGACUCCUGUCCUGUGAUCACAUACACUUGCAUAAGGACUGGUUAGAGAUUGUCCUUGUUGCCUAGUAAAGAAGAUGACCACAAAUUCAAUGCAAAGCCACAUCUUGCAAGCCACUGCCCUUGUAAGUUGUGCUGAAGGCGGUGUGAAUCCAAUGAAAGAUCUGUGAUGGGAGGUUCAGCCUCCCUCGUCCCAUCUGCUCUCUACUAGGGACUUGCCAUCUUCUUUAGUAUAACUGUGCCUACAAAAUCAAUAUGAGAAGAUAAAGCUAAUAGGAGCACUCUAAGGUUAAUUUAAACCAACCUUAGUACAAUUAUUUCAGAUUAAAAGCGAUAUAGAGGCCAGACAUAUUAUCAAGUUAAGUAUUUUCUUGGCUCAACCUUUGUUGCUGUUUAGAGCACAUCUUCUGUAAUGCCCAUGUUGUUAAAUGUUACAGUAUUAGGUAUUUUUUUAGCAUUGAACAGGCAUCCUUCUGUUUUUUUAUGGAUGGAAGAAUAAUUAUAUCCUGUGACAAAAGCUGAGGAAGAGGGGCAGCUGUUCAGUCUUAUCCAGUGGGAACAUCAGAACAUAUGGGUCUAUUUUUCCAAUUUUAGCUGAAGUACUGAAGGAAAUUGGCAUUCUUUAUUAUUUCAACAUAAAAUAGAACAGAAAGAAACCCUCCUUAAAGCAGGCCAUGGUUAAAUAGUGAAUUUUAUCCAAUUCAAGUAGGUUCAAAGAGAAAGCAAGCAGAAUACUUAGGAAACAAAACAGACGAAUGCCAGGAGAAUUCUGGAAGUUAUUUUCAUAUAAAAAAGGGUGUCUUUCUCCACAGCUACUUCCUCCUUGAGCCUGCCUGCUGACAGGAGUUUUUGAUUUAAAAGCACAUUUAGGAUAAAAUUUGUGCUAUUCUUUACAAUUCUAUCCCCACUAACCUCUCUUCAUUCUAAGAAACAGAUAUAUAUAUAUGUAUAAUGACAGCUAACCUUCAGAGUUUAAGCCUUAAUUAAGAAUUUACUUUUAUGUUGAUUUCACAAAUUCUUUACAAAGAUUUUUAACUUGAGAUGAAGUCAUCAAUGUAAUAUGCAACUCUAAAAAAUUCCACAUACUUCAAACUGGUUGGCAUUCAGAUCUUGGUUAAAAAAACACACAACCAACCAUAAAAACAAAGCAAACAGGCUGUGGGAUGAAAAGAAUACAAUAGCCCAUCUGUUAAAAUCCAGAAAAGAAUGAGAAACAAUGUACCAAGUUACAACCUUCCCCAUAUCUUUAGGACUAGAAAUACUGAUCUUUACUCUGUAGGGUAACUGUUAAAAGACAAGAAAAUAGAGACAUUUAUCUCCCCCUUUUUAAAAAAUCAUCAGUAAAGGUUGGGGGGAUGGUGUUUCUGUUUCUUCCUGUUGAGUAACAGUAAAAAAAAAAUCUGUUAGAGAAGAGGAACAUUGACAUUAAAAAAAUCAUGAUGUCACAAAUGAUUCUCUUUGUUCAUGCUACAGAACUCUGUAAUCACACCAGUGGAAACCGGGCUUUUUGGCUCCACUCUCUCAUCAGGUUCUAAAAUGGACUCUGAAGAGAUUCCUUCCUGCGAGACAAUGGUGACCUCUGUUGUUCCCUCUCGUUGGUACCAGCCAUGAUGCUGUUUUGGCCUUGUGUCCCGCACUGUUUCAAUAGUGUGCUUUGAAACAAGCGGGCAGUUACUGAGAAAAUCUGGGCUGAAGUGUUGCAUUCAAGUUUCUGUCCAGGAAAGGAUGUGUCUAUUCUGCACUCUGCUUAAGAAAAUUUUCCCUGCGGGUUUCGUCUCAAGCAGCCCCUAGUCUGGCUACCAGGUUUUCCAGUUCAUAGCUGUGAAUCACUGCAGGAAGGAGCAGUUGCAAACAUUUUAAGCCACAGUGCAGUAAUAACACCUGCAAUGUAUUAUGAGAAAAAGCUGCAGGUAUUAUUAUAGAGAAGGAAGUUGGAAGAAAUAAUAACCUAUUUUGAACAGAUUCCAUUUCUAAAACUGGAGCUGAGAUUUUAAAAAGGUGUUAGGUGGCACAAAUCUUUAUGUUGCCCUAAGAUGCUUUUAAAAAAAUUUUUGGUGUACUUUCACACUUCAGUGACUCAGACUUCAUAACUCCAAGGAUAUUUUCCCUAGCGCAAGAGAAACUUCAAUAGUUUUAACUGCUUUCUUUUUUAACCUCUUUAAAUUGCUGACAUGAGGACAUGAGCUGACAUAGUUUGGAAACUGACCCCUCUCUCUCCAGGAAAUUCUUUCCAGGCAAACUUCUCUACUUUUUCCUUGGAUUUCUCCAGACUAAUGAUCUCCUCCAUCAUCUUCUACCUGUGCUAUGGUCUCUAGAGUGUCCCUAUCACAGUGACACGUCAGUAAAGAAACCCCUCAAAUUCAGAUGAUUGGUAAAGAAGAAUAAGGAUGAAGAAAAAUAAAUGUUGUGUUAGGAAACAAAUCCAUUUGUGACCUCCUAUAGCUACCAGUGGAUGAAAAAAAAUGGGGAACAAAAUUCAGUUCAGCCACAAGACUUGUAAUUUUGUUGGCUAUUCUGGAAUGUCUCACAGAGAAAGAAUAUUUUUAAACCAAAACUGGCUUCCAACUGCUCUAGAAAUGUUUUUUGGCUUCUUUUGAUGCCAUCAAACCUACAAUGGGUUUGGAUGCCUUAAUUUUCCUAUGAAUUAAGAAAUACAUCAAAACAAGAAAAAAAAAUAGUCACAAAAGACUUUGGUGUGACUAAAAAGUCUCCUGAACACGGGCAGCAAGAAAGAGAAGUUUUGCCCAGGUUUCCUGGUGAUGUCAGCCCCUGAAGAGCUGAGCACUGCACUGUUUCCUUUCAGGUUUGUGCCAGCAGGGAAACAGAAGAGCAAGUGGGAAAGGCGAGGGGUUGCUAAGGGCAGUGACUGGGAUGAGAGGAGGAACCUGCAGUCGGAUUCCUGACUGAGCAUGGGCUUGUUCAUACAGAGGUGGGAAAUCAACAAAGGCAUCUUUUCCACUACAACCACCUUCAUGGGAGGUGACAGACAGCAGCACCUUCCAUCUUUGCUUCUGCACCACCACACCAAAGUGUAAUCACACAGCUGACAAAGAAACCGAGAGGAAGACUAAUGCCUCCAAUUCCUUGAGACAGAGGCAUUUCCAAAAGAGGGCCAGUGGAAAUUCUCCUUGUUGCCAUUUGAGAAGAAGCUGAGAGAGCCAGCACUCUUCAUCUGGGAGAAGACUGGGGGGACUGUGAGUGUCUUAGCAUUGUGCAUAAAACACAAUGAAGAUGAGGGAGCCAAGCUCUUCUCAAAGAGAAGAGAAGAGCCUGGUUGCCCAGGCAGGUUGUGGAGUCUCCAUCCUUGGACAUGCUCACAAACCAAGGGCACAUAAUCCUGGGAGCCUGCUUGAGCAGGGCAGUUGGACCAGAGGACCUCCACAUAUCCCUCACAACCUCAGCUGUUCUGUGUGAUUCUUUGGUUUGGUUUGACUCCUGAAGUCUCUGAGCCUCAACCCUGAUGCCGACUGGCAAGGAUUCUGGGGCAAAGGAUGAUCCCAAACUCCUCCCUUAGGAUCCAUCACUAAACAGCAUCUCCCCAGUCCAGAAUAUCAUAAUACAGACACAGUCAGAAGAGACAAAAGAUCAUUUUUUUCUGGACAUCAACUGCAGGGUGUGGAGGGAAGCCCAGGAAUCACAGGGGUUCAGACAGGAAAUUGGCACCUGCAACAACACAGUCAGGGAGCACUUGAUAAAACCACCAAGGCAGGAAUAGGUAUGACUUGCUUCCCCUUUCCUUCGGAAACACAGUUGACAAAGAAUUGUGUAUGGCCCAGAAGAGAGAGCUAUUGCUUUUUGACCACUACCCUUUAGGUGCAACCAUGCAACUAGUUCUUUAUCAACUGAAUGGUCCACCCACUGGAUCCAUCUCCAAUUUAGAGAGAAAAAUAUUGUGGGGAACUGUGUGAACUACAGAAGUCCAGAUAAAUGACAUCUGUAAGCCUUCCCUUGCCCACUGAUGCAGUCACUCCAUCAUAGAAGGCCACUAGGCUGGUCAGGCAGGACUUGCCCUUGGUGAAGGCGUGCUGGCUGUCCCAGAUUGCCUCCCUGUCCUCCAUGUGCUUCAGCAUAACUUCUAGGAGGAUUUGUUCCUGAUCUUCCCAGGCACAGAAGUGAGGCUCACAGGUUGUUAGCUCCUAGGGCCCUCCUUCCUACCCUUUUUGAAAAUGGGUACAAUGUUUCCCUUUUUCACAAACAGCUGCAAUGACAAAGUACAAAAGAUCUGUCAUAUGACACUUAACAUAAGUUCCUAAUGUCCUUGAGAAAUACCCUUUUUAAUGCUCCUCUUUGCCUGGGAACCAAGAAAUACCACUUUGCAAUGUAUAAAUCUGUAUCGAUGCUGAUUCUUGCUAACAUGCAGAAAAUACAUAUUGGCAAAGUGAUAAAUCAGUUCCCCAGAGUACAAAUCGGCCAUAAAAAAGUAACCUAAAAAUAAUCAAUUCAAAGUAUUUACAGCAGAUGGAGCUAUACAUUUUGCUUUGAUCAUAUGUUACAUGAUAUUCCAAGAUAAAGUGUACAGUUUGACAAGAACUGUGGUAAGUUAGUGGUACCGUCUCACCAAGGAAUGGAGUUAGUCACAGAAGGCAUUUCAUAAACUGCUGCAAUUAGCUUUCCUGGAAAUAAUCCUUGUAACAUCAGUAGAAAUAGCAACUCAAGAAAAGGUUAUCACUGUAUAUUGGUAUCUUAAUAGAAAUCACAGCUCAAGUCUAAGGGUUUGCUGUAUCUGCUCACCAGUUUGAAGGUUCUCCUGACCCUGCUGGCUUUUGUUUACCAGCCAGGUAAAAUGAGCACUGAAGAGAGGACAAAGUUUUCUUUAUACACUACUAACCAGAAUCUAUGUGUGAUGUCCACAGAUUAUCCUUUGGAAGUCUGGGCUCCUGCAUAACCAAGAUGCUUACUCACUGUAUGUAUACAUGCAUAGGGUUCCUUGUCUGAAACGAAGCCUGUUCUUGUCUUUAUUGCUGCCAAGAUCCAGAUGGAUGUGUUUCCCAUGCUGCAUUUGCAUCAUCUUUAAGCUACAAAAAUUUUGAUUACACACCAAGGGUAAGGGAGAUUAUUUUUGCAGUUUCUAACAGAAUUACUCUUAUCCUAGAGUAAUUAAAAGAAAUCUGGUACAAUUCCUGUCCUAUUAUGUUUGAAUUUGAACUAAAGUUUGGAUCUUAUACUGCUGUAAAAGCUUACUCUGCUUCCACAUUCUGAGAUGACCCAUCUUGCCUAUUUGAACUUCACACCCUCCACUCCCCAGUCCACUUGCAAUUUCCUAACCAUAGUGUCAGUUGCAAAAAAAUUAAUCCAAUUAAAAAAAAAAUCAUGGCAUUUUUAUUCUCCACCUAAUUGUCAUUCAUGACACCAAAAAAAGCUACUGGUUUCAAACUGUAUUUACAGAUUUUAAAGUUAUGGUGAUGAAAAGGUGAUUGAUGCCCCAUACCUGGAAACAUUCAGAUCAGACUGGAAAGGGUUCUCAGCAACCUGAUCUGGUGGAAGGUGCCCAUUGCAGAGGGUUGGACUAGAUGGCAUUUAAAGGUCCCUUCCAGCCCAAACCAUUCUAUGAUUCUGGAAGUCUGCACUGCUAACAGGACUGGACCUCAAUAUUCCAAAUUCUCAACAGCAUAAUGAAUAUCCUCUUACUGCCUAUGCUUAGGUGUGGGGGAGGAUGGUCCUAUAGGCAGGUACCAGCUAAUCCAAGAGUGAUUAGAAACACUUUGAAAGCAUGUGGGAUGAUUUGAUUUUGUAGCAGGAUAGAGGAAUAUUUAUAAUUCCUAAUGCAUGAAACUUUUAGAGAAGAAGCAUUCCUACUCCUUUCUCCAUAUACCAUUUCCUUUCUCUGUGUUUAUCCAAUUUAGAUAUAUUUCUCAGGAGACACAUCAUGGGGCUGAAUCCGACGGUAUUGCAACUCUGUUUUACUUCAUUUUCCUUUUUAUAGUAAAUAUGAAUGGAUACUGCAACUAGUAAUUUACUAAUCCACAAGUCUAAACAUGGACAUAGAAACAGUCCAGAUAAACUGAAUUGUAAGAACAGUAACUAAUUAAGCACAACUGUUUUUGUAAUGUUUCCCAUGGGUUGCCUUUAUAAUGCCAAUUUCUAUGCAUUAAUAAAUUAAUAAUUCUUCACCUUUAUAAAAAUUUAAAAUCCAUCUGUUUAUUGACCAGAAUAAAAGUCUAGAUUCUUCCUCUAAAAUGAAAAGUCACUUUCUGGUUAGUUGGGAAACAACAUACUUUAUGAAUUUGCAAUAUUUACUCUGCUAAAAGUGAAUAUAAUUUCUGAGCAUGAAAAUGUAUAAAUAGAUAAAAAUAAUAUACACAAUAGAUAAAAUAUACAAUAAUAACAAUGAAUAAAUUAAACAAUUAGAACUAAAUGGUGAUCUCCCCUAAACUAUGUUUUAAGGUAUUUUGUUGUGAGAAAAAGGACAAAGCCACAGAUAACAGAUUAUAUACAGGAAGCCUGUCCAUUUAUUUCAAAAUUAGAGAUUUUGUAAAAUAAAUUGGAACUAUUCACUAGUAAAUACUAUUCUUAUUAAAGCAUAGCAGUUUCUAAAAACAUUUGCUUUUUCAGUGUACCAGCUAUACAUAAGAAUAUAGUUCUUUCUCACAAAAAUUAGCUUUGAGCAACUAGUGCAAACAUCCAAUACAAACCUGACUGAAAGCGUUAAGAAAUGUAUUUGAAAGUACAUGAAAAUGCAUCUCCUUCAGUAUAUCUGGAUACCACUCAAAUCCUCCCAACAUUUGUUCUCAUUUAAAAAAAAAAGUUCAUUCCUCACCACUUGCCAAAGAGGAACAUGUAUUUUAAAUAUUACAUUCCUUACUUACAAAUUAUUUAUUUAGGAUGAAGUCCCUCAUAAACUCUUUAGCAAACUAGCACUUUACAUUUUAAACUGGAGAACUUUAACAAGAAAGGGUAAAACAGUUUAUUCAGCUUUUUACAAAGCAGUAUAUAAUAGCACAAAGUGGUAUGCCUACUAAAAUGUUUUGUUAAAGACAAAAGCAGAAGUUGAAUUUUUUAUUACAAUAAAAAUUCUUAUUUGACUUGUGUAACUUAUUUGGCAUUAAAACAUGACUGCAUUGCUUCUCUCAAAAACUGAGCAGCAUAUACUUUGAAAGUCACUUGAUUUACAUCAAACCAGUCAUUUUGAAGUAAACAAUGGUGAUUUUCUGUUACAGUCUUAAUCACAGCUGUGGACCAGGACCCCCCUGUACAAAUUGGUCCUUGGACACACAGCAAAUCUAUUCUGUGAAUCAAAGAGAUUCCAGGAAGGCCCAGUGAAAGUCAUGAAACCAUUGGGGGAAUAAAAUAUUACCUGGCCUGAACAUAGCAGUGAAGGCAAGUAUAUAGUCUUUCCUGGAAUGAUAGAUUUUAGUAUUUCUCACAAAGAUAAAAUUAUUUUUAUUGGUCCUUCUAACCGUUUUCAUGAAGAAAAAAAUGUAUUAAUCACUCAUUAAUUUUAUGUUCUAGAGACAUAAAUGUAGAUAUUCCUCCCCUAUGGGGAGAAAAUAACUGGGUCUCAUUUUCCAGUAUCAGCAGUACCAGCUGCCUGGAAAGGAGUCAUCGAAAGUACCACUGAGGUGGAAGGAAGUUUUCCAUGUGUUACAUUUAGUGGAGGAAAGGAAUACUUUCAUGUUCCACAAUUUCAGUUAAGAUAACCCUGAAAUGACUAUGGCAUUUGAAAAAAUAAGGUUUAAUUUUUCACCCUUCAUGGGCUCUGAAGUUGUGUAAAGCGAUGGACAGCUAUGCCGCUCAGAACAUGACUUUUCCAUAUCAUUUAAUGUGCAUGCACCUCCCAUCCUCCUGCACGAACAGCUUCACAAUCUUGGGGUGGUGUGGCUGGGAACAAGCCAUACUGUAUGUCCUGUUUAUAUACAAACCUGGAAUGUGAAUGAUCCUAAGUUGGGCAACUGCAAAUUAUUGUUAUCAGUGGUGUUCUGAGGGAAAGAAUUGGAAGUAAUUUACCUGACAAAAAACUGCACAAUGCAGAAAUACAAAGAAGUUAGGGGUUUUUACCUCCAUUCAGAUCUGCUACCUAUGGGAACAGCUCAAUGGAAACAGCAGGCAACCUGUUGUCAGGGUGUGAGCUUUCAGCUGUAGCAGUUUGGAAAUUUCCAUGGCCAUAUCCCAGCCUGAAACCUCAUCUUCAUCUUCCAGUUAUUUGUUCCCUGCUGCUCUUCUAACUUCCUCUCUUUAGAGGGUUGAUCCUGCAGAAUUUAGACAAACAAAUGCUCUGUGUACAAGGGGAGGUAACUGAAGUGAGUGGUAUGGUUGGUGUAUGUUGGAUUUUUGAGGGGACCCAGCACUAAGGGUAUUUCAUAGGCUUCAGGGACUUCCUGGCCUAUGUGGUUAAUGCUGAUUUAAGUGCCCUCGGGGCCAGGUCCUGUAGUGUGUGCUUAGCACACAGAUGUGUUGCAUUGACUUCCACAGAAGUAGAGGAAGUGAACACAUCACUGGAUGCAUUCACAUUUGUGCUUGGCAAGAAGGGACUCCAAGUAUUUAAAGCUAGCAUAAGUGAUAAUGCACAGUUAUUAUCAUGUUAGAUGGCUGAAUGUGAUACCACAUGCACUGGCCAGAUUAAUCUCCUACAGCUCUGAUUUUGUGAGGAUUGUUGCAGAGAACCCUAAAGAAACCCAAUGGGUAUUGCAUGGUACCCCCAUAAACUCAAUGGAGCAUUACUUGAUUAAAGAAGUUACAGUCAUACUGAGCUGGAGUAAACUGAGAGUGUCCAGAAAACAUAGAGGAUUUAAGUGUGUUUAGACACCAAAUAUCACCAUGUAGAAAUUUCAGCCUCCGGAAGUUUUAAUGGAAGAAAAUAGCUUAAUCACUCAGUAUAUUUUGCAACUGUAGCUGAAAGUUUAACAUCACAAAAUAACAUAUUGCUAUGCAGCUUUAAGAGUCACACAAUUAUAUUCAAUCAUUUCCCCUGCUUUUCAAGUCUGCUGUUCAUUAAAAACUCUUCUCCUGCUUGCAGGUUCCAGUUUUCAAAUGGAUGACACAACCAAUGCAUAGCUUAACGUUCAUUCUCAUGAGUCAUAAUUAAUAAAUAAUCGUAUCACAUACACAGAAUUUUACAGGUACUCUUAAAAUGGUUUUACAGUUCUAUUAAAUAUAUAGAUAAAAUAAUCACUGCUAUAUAAAAAAAAUCAUUUUCAAACAGCUGAACUCUCAAGCUCUGCAUAAAAUUCUGUAGACACAUUCAUUACAAUCUAGAAACUGAAUAAAAAUACAUUUUAGAGCUCAAUCCCUCAAAAAUAUUCAUGGCAUUGAAAAUUGAUUGUCAUUUUUUACUGUAAUCUGUGCUUCCCCUACCAUUGUACUGAAAAUUUCCUACAAUUUGGCAAAGGCUACAUCCAGGUCAGUUUGUAGUUUAUGUGACUGUUUAACUCAUUUCCUCAGCUCUUAGUCUUCUGCCCCAUAAAUGUUUUGUGGGGUUCUGUCUUUAAUGGUGUAUCUUUCCUUGCACUUUCUAUAAAAUCACAAUGAAACACUUUGCAGUUAAGUUACAUGACUACAAUGACAUUGAACCAUCCUUUUAUAGUUGUUGCUUGGCCUUUAAUGGUGCUUCUGUGAACACCAAACAUCCUUUAUCCAGUGAUCCUCAAACACUUCCUGUCACUUACACUUCACAAUAAUCUGCUACCCACAUUUGCUCAAAACCAGUGGGUUUUAGAAACAGUCUUAACAGAUCAGUACCCUUGUCCAUCUGAAUUCUGCUGCUAAAUUGAACUACCAAAUGUGGUCAGUUUAAGGUUGGCAUUUUUCAAAAACCCAGUCAAAAAUUCAGGAAAAACUUCCUUAUUCUGACAGUGCACAUAUCUGAUGGAAAAUGGGUAGACAACAGACUGCCCACCAGCCUUUAAACCCCCACUACCUCAAGCCAGUUCUCUAGGCAGCAAGUUAAAAUAGGCUUUGCCAUACAGAAUGUUUCACAAUCAGGCUUUUAGACAGUGGCUCAGAACAGGCCACAAAGCCCAACAACAAGCACUGUUUUCAGAACAGGGCGCUUGCAUUGAGGGAUUGGAUCUUGGACCGUGGAAGAAGAGAUGGAGGCUCACAAGCCAAUUUAAGUGGGGGGAAACUGCUUCUUAUGCAGAUGUCACUCUUUGGAGUUCCAGGUAAAAGCAAAACUCCUGAAGAGUUCAGACUUUUCUUUCAUGCACAGUUGACAAUACCAGUAUCAUCACUCUUAACUCUUCACCUGUGAUCUUCUCACCCAUGGAAUGGCUGGGUAAGGUACACUACCUCUGUUAUAGCAAACCUACGACCAAACAAACCCCAAAAUGGAAAGCAACAUAACACCAAGUGUCAUGGACUAAUUUAGUAUUUUUUUUUCAUCUAUUUUGGAUGGAAGAAGCAACCUUUGUCUCUCAAUGGGAUAGGAUGGAAAGUGUGUAUCAGCUGAAACACUGGGUGAGAUGACCAAGACAACUGCUGGAUGCUGUUUGACAUUUAAACUGCUCAUUUCAAUGUUUCAGUCACUGUUCAUCAGUGGGAGGUAACAAAGAAAACCUUGGGUUUUUUCCCUCUUGGAUGAAAAUACUGUGUAAUGAAAUUGCCAGCAUCACUGCAUUCCCACCUUUCCAUUCUUCAUGGAUGGAUAAGACAUCCAAAGAGCUCCUCAUCCUGAUUAAUAAUCUUAGAAGGAAGAAGACAGAAGAGAGCAUACUUUACUUGACUGAACUUUCAUAGCUAUAAAGUUAUAUGAAGAGACUGUAAUCCAGUUCCAGGUAACCUCUGCUCAAGAUCUAUAAAUAUGGAAGGAUCAGUGAGUAAAGAUAUAAAGAAUCAGAAAAGGUUGUCAUAAACCAAAGGAGCCUGUGAAGAGUGAAACAUAAUGAAGAGCUGUCAACACUUUCACUCCGAACUAAUGUACACUGCUACUUGCUGCAAUUAAAUAGAUGCCAUACCCCAGCUUAGUAUUCCUUGGUUUUAAGGAUAAGGAUAUAAUGUUUCUUGUAUUAAGUUUUAUUCUUUCAGAGGGAAAAGCACUAGCCUUUCAAUAUUCUAUUUUAGCCUACUUCCAGAAAGCAUUUUCAAAAAAUCUAAUAAAGGUUUUCUUUUGGAAGAAAGUAUCACUGUCUUUAACAACAAGCACAAACAAGUUCAUAGAUCACAAAAUCAGAUGACUCAAAAUGCUGAGCAUUUUCAUCAGCAAGAUGAAGAAUGUAUUUUUUUACUUAUGUUGAUUUACAUUGAAUUAAGUUGGGAUAUUUGGAUCUGUUCCUCACCAAGCACAGUAGAUCUUAUUUUUAGGUUCAUGGGGUGAAUCCAGAUCUAGUCAACAGUGAAAGGACAGAAUAGGAAAGAUUUCAGCUUUCUUGACUUCACAAAAAGUCACACAGAGAAAAGUUACUGGUAUUAAAUUGAAUUUGAAGACUUCUCUUUUGUUCUCCAAAGCAUGGGUUACACCUUGUCUGGAAAAAUCCUAAAUCAAAUAUCCUAAAGUGAUCACUGAUGUGGACAAAAAUUACAAGAGGCAGAAGUGGCUCAACUGUGCCUAUGGAAAAGCCACAGGAGUCUCUUAGUUGCACUAGAAAGUCAGUGCUGGCUGUCAGCAUUUCUCUGUAUUUAGUUUUAUAUCUGUCAUUUCUUUCUCUAUUGAUUUGGACACUUAAAGGCUAUUUCUAAUCCUUUUACCAUACACUUGUGCCUUAAGAGUAGCCUUAGCAAAUUAGGUGACCUAUUGUUUUUUGUAUCUUCAAAAAAGAGACAUUUUCCCAUGAUCUAGUAAGUAAAAGCAGCAGCAAAAAUGAAGCAGAAGCAGACUCAGAAGCACUGAGGUACUUUUAAAACACUUCAGUUUCUGGGCUAAGAUUUCCCAUAUGACCACUCCUGUGAAGCAGUGAGCGUGUAUGUGCUUCACACUUCUCCACACCCAGUUUAUUCCUUCGGACCAAACCUAACAAAAGGUGCAGGACCAAAGUGAAUUUAAAUCCUAAAAAAAUCGAACUCUCCUACCCCAAUAAACCCUCAACCUGAUUUUGCUGCUCCACUGGAUUUGCUACUGGAACUGUAAUUCCUGAUCUGUAUUUCACCACCUGUAAUUCUGCUCUGUCUCUAACUCUUUCAAAUAAUUCAAUGGAAAACGUGAAGAAGCAUUUCUAGCCUUGCCCUUGCAGGUGGCCAGAUCCAGAGGCAAGUCAACACUACCCCUCUUCCACAGCUGUCAGGCCCUACAUAAGAAAAUGAAGCCAGAAGAAUAAUUUUUGAAGACUAGAGCUCUGAAUUGUUCAUAUUUCUACUGAUAAUUAUCUGGUUUUAUUUAGCAUCUUAUAAAGCAAGGCACAAAUGUACAAAAUUGCGUCUACUAAAUCAGGUCAUUUUUAUAUAUAUUUACACAGUUAUCAUAAUAUAAAACGUGCUUUGACACUGUCAUAGCACAACAGUAGAGGAAUUGGAGACAACCUGAUAAUAAACACAAAUACCAGGUCCUGGAUUUCUGUUUGUGCUUCACCUGAAGGAACAUAUUCAUAUGCAGAUACACAAAGCAAUCCAGCCACCAUCCUUUAUUUUUCCACACCUCACACAGAUCAAACUUUGUUGCUAAGAAGCUGUGGAAGGAGUAAAAGGCAGUAGAUCAGCACCCAGAAGAAAAUGAUGAAGUAAAAUAGCUCUGGCUGCUCAAAAAUUGUAAUCUCGUGAAUUGGUGGUGGGGUCUCACUUGCUUCUGAGUCCUUUUUCUUCCUGUAAACAGGAGAUAAUUCAAUAAGAGGCAAGUAAAAGAAGAAAAAACCUUCAUUGUUAAUGUUUACUGUGAAGAUCAGAGGGCAGGCUAACAGACAGCAGUUUAAAGAACCAAUUCAAUCUAGUCAGCCUGAGUCCCAGCUAGACUAGGAGGGGCAUAACAGGCUAAAGCAGUGUGUUCCUUCCAGAGCCAAUGUACAUAUCAAUUAAUCCUCAGAAAACUCUGGACAAAUUCUCAGGUAGUAUAAGGAGAUUCCCACCAGUCAGAAAGAUGCCCUUUUAUUUUGAGAACAGUAAACACAGCUCUGGGCAGCACAAAUCAAACUUUCACAAUUUUGCUUAUACACUGCAUCUGACUUAAUAUACUUCUCCCAAAUCACCUACUUUCAGAGCUACUCAUGUCAGACACCUGAAUAUUAAACAGAAAAAGCCCAAAACUUCCAGAAACCAACUAGCAGUUGGGGUUUUCCAGGACAACUCCAAAAUUUGAACUUUCCGAAUUUCCAGCUGUGGUUCAUAAGGGCAAAGUCCAAUGGACUCUGCUGGCACCACUGAGCUCUCACAAAGACAAGGAAGGGUCUUAUUUAAAAAGGCACAAGAUGGUACACUCAUUUUAUAAUUUUACAAUACUAUAAGAAUAACCCUCUGGGUCUAAUCUACUUUUGGAGAAAAAUGUGUUUUGGCCUGUUUUAAUGAGUCCUUUUUUCUGGCUUGAGGCAUCCUACUUGCUCAGAUGUUAUACUGGAUAUAUACCUGAGUAUCACCCAAAAUUUGCUCAAUAUCAGCAAUCUGUAAACAGCUAUAACUGUAACAGCUAUUCAUGUUUGUUUUUUUUUUAACAGAAGCAUAAGCGAGACCAGGACAGUGGAUCUUGAUAAUAUUUUGUGUGUUUUCUGCAUUUAAAUAUAACAAUAAUUUUAACUACUGAGGGGUACCACUCAGUAUCAGCUAAGAGGGAAAACCUAAAGCAAUCCUUUGUUUUUUAUAGAUAUUUAGCAUCCAAAGGGAUACACACUCUGUGUUCAGGACUCAUCACCCUAGUCUAGACUAAAGACACAGACACACACAUACUCUAACAGAGGGGCCUGACCUCCACUGAAGUUAUUGAUUUUCCCUAGCAUUGACCAUACUAAAUACUGUCUUGACAGUCUUCCAAACAUAGAAAGAGUCAUCACUGCCAGAGGGCCUGACAUAUCCACCAAGUGGAGAGAACACUCAGACUCUUGCUUAGACAGCUGAAUCUUUCAACUCAAGUCAAGAAAAAGCAUUUUAGUCAAGGGACAGAUUGAGCACUAAUGAACUUUCGUAUCUUAUGCUUAUAGGAAAUAUGGACUGAGCCACUACAGAAGACAUCCAGUCAGUUACUACCAUUAUAAUUAAUUUCCAGUUCCUUUUGUAGCACUGCUAGUAGUACCUAGAUUUAUGGAUUCCUUGCAAAACUCUUUGAAUAAGAACCACUCACCUGAUGAUUAAUGUAUUUUCACCCAUAUCUGUCAUCUUCUGCUCAUUUACACCAUAGGUUUCCUUAAACAAACAAGAAAUAGAUUAUAUAACAAAAAUAAAAUUCAGCAUGUCACAAA